UACGUAGGCGACAAGCGUUAUCCGGAAUUACUGGGCGUAAAGCGCACGCAGGCGGUCAGAUAAGUCUGAUGUGGAACCUUCUGGCUUAACCAGAAGACGUCGUUGGAUACUGUCUGUCUUGAGACGAUGAGAGGAAUGCGGAAUUCCGGGUGUAAUGGUGGAAUAUGUAGAUAUCCGGAGGAACAUCUGGCGAAAGCGGCAUUCUGGCAUUUGCCUGACGCUCAUGUGCGAAAGCGUGGGUAGCAAACGGG
rnacentral:rRNA from 1 species